GACGAACGCUGGCGGCGUGCUUAACACAUGCAAGUCGAACGGAAAGGCCCUGCUUUUGUGGGGUGCUCGAGUGGCGAACGGGUGAGUAACACGUGAGUAACCUGCCCUUGACUUUGGGAUAACUUCAGGAAACUGGGGCUAAUACCGGAUAGGAGCUCCUGCUGCAUGGUGGGGGUUGGAAAGUUUCGGCGGUUGGGGAUGGACUCGCGGCUUAUUAGCUUGUUGGUGGGGUAGUGGCUUACCAAGGCUUUGACGGGUAGCCGGCCUGAGAGGGUGACCGGCCACAUUGGGACUGAGAUACGGCCCAGACUCCUACGGGAGGCAGCAGGGGGGAAUAUGGCACAAUGGGCGGAAGCCUGAUGCAGCAACGCCGCGUGCGGGAGGACGGCCUUCGGGUUGUAAACCGCUUUCGCCUGUGACGAAGCGUGAGUGACGGUAAUGGGUAAAGAAGCACCGGCGAACUACGU
rnacentral:rRNA from 1 species